UCAAAAUCUGUAUGCUUUUCAUUUUUACCCAAAUUAAAAUCUCUUCUACUUCUACCAUUGUUUCACUCCUAUCAUAGACUCCUAUCGUAGAAUCCCAAUCAAACCCUAAUCGAGCAAUAGAACCCUAGCCAUGUCGAUUAGAAAAUUACAGCGAGCUUGCAUGCGGUAGUAUGAACAGUGGAGCUCACGAAGCUGCACUUGAUUCGUGGAUAGUGCAAUCACCGGAAGAGGAAGCGAACACAUCGACGAGACGAGGGUUCCAAACGGAGGAAUAGACACAGUAAGCGUGUUCUUUGAAACUGCGAACGGAAAUGGGACGAUCGAGAGUUUAUAAUUUGACGGUGUCAUCCCAUGAACCGGAGAGGAAAGAGUCACGGCAAACGGGGUUAAGCGGUGGCGACGGCUAUGGGGUUUUCGUAGAAUGGUCUGAACUUGACAGAGUAACCAUUGAAUGGGGUUUUGAAAACCGGCAUCAUUUUGAGAAUCGGAGUUUGGUCAGGUGAAAGAGUGAGUAUUAGGUGUUUGAUGUUAUGCGCCUGAGGGAAGAUGCAUAAGGAAAGAUGGGGCAACUAAAGCCACUGCAAAGUUUGAGCUGAACCCACCGCCAUAUCUGCUAAGAUCUAAAGUUUGUCAAAUACUCUGUUUACCUAUUAGAGUUAAUUGAAUUUCAAUUAAUCUAAAUUUGUCAUGGGGGAGUUGGGGACCUAUGCUUAUGAAACAUAGAAAUGGGGCUGUCUGUAUUUUCAAAUUUGAAUGUUUGCAAAAUUUUGGCAUGUAAGCUUUCAUCAAUAGAGAAAGUUAAAAAUUAAAGCAUUGAAGAACUCAAGCAUCUCAAUUAGAGUCAUUGUAAGGGCAAAGGCUUGUAACUUAACUAACAUAAAAUGACCUUACUGGGUUUUAGUAGAAACUGAAAAAACUUAACAAGCAUCUCCAUUGUUCUUUUGGAGCAUACUGAAGAAACUGUUUUUUAACACGAUUUCUGGAUGUUGACUUGCCAUCUAUCCAUUUGUUGGAAUCUCGUUUGAAAAUUUAUGAAUUUUGUAUCAUGUAGUGGCAUCUUUUUCCUGUGUCAAAAUUAUCAGAUCUUUAAAUCUGACUGCAUGCUGAGUUGCCCCAUUGUAAUAUAGAUACACCCAUGUGGUGGCACUCAGAGCACUCUUUUUCUAAUGAUUCAUAUAUUUCUCACAUUAUGCUUUCCUAAGUUCUACAAAUAUUCACAUUAUGUCUGGCAAGAUACUGCCUAAUGGAGUAGAAGUGCCUUCAUCUUUUGAAACAAUAGUCAAAUUUCCCACUUGUACCUACAUGAUGAAUUGCUUCUCUUCAAAGAUGUUAUUGUGAAGGUUAUUUAUGAUGUAUGUAUGACUACUUUAAGUAUUUGAGCUUGAGUUUUAUCUCCUUAUUCCCAAUAAAGAGCUGCCUCUGUAUAUUUACUGCUACUUGGUGCACUAGUCUUGUUUAAUCACUAAUACUAGAUACAACGAUGCUUUGAUAGUCUUCACUGAACUGUGUCUUUUUAAUCACUUUUAGUUUGGAACAUUCAGCAUUUUCCCAUCUUCUGUUUAGGGAUAUAAAUGUAGUUUUUGUCACAAUAUAAAAAAGUCCUCUUUAGAUCCCUGUUUACGACCCUUUUUUCUUGACCUGGCUUUGUUAAAGUUGUAUAAACUUUUAGAAUUAGGCAUUAAAAUCUUUGCUCCUGUAAGACCUCACACAACUACUAAAGGAGAGGAAUUUGGAAUGUCAAGGGUUGUGGGGAAAGGUGUUAAUUCUUUAGGAAUAAGCAUAUAGAAGGGAGAGAGAAGGAUCUGGGGGAGUUAGUCAAGAAUUGAGUAAGCUAAAAAGGUUCGGUUAUCAAUGUAGUGGCAGAGUUUGAGACAUAGUAAUCAUAUAAAAGAUGGUAAGAGCAGUAACUGAUAAUGGAAUCCGUAGCAGAAAGAAAUCAUCAAGAGGUCACCACAGAUUUGUAGGAGUUCUUCAAAGACCAUCAGGAAGAUGGGUGGCAGAGAUCAAAGACUCUAUACAGCUGAAGAUGCAGCUCGUGCUUAUGACACUGUUGCAUGAGCUUUAAGAGGUGCUAAUGCAUGAACAAACUUUGAUUUGCCACAAGCUGCAACCAGUGGUGUUGGUGGUGGUGCCAAACGUGGUGCUAGUUCAACUUUCAAGAUGGAAAACACUGAACCCUUUUCUUUUGAGGAUGUAAAUGAAUCUGGGUUAGAUUCAAAUUGUUUUCUUGGUGCACUAAAAGCAAAACAUUUUGAUGGAAAAGAAGAGAAGUUUUUUUCAUUUCCUUUUCAUAAUUCUGUUCUUGUUGUUCAAUCAAACAUGAACCAAGAGUAAAUAGUGCAAUUAACCAUAUAUGAUUUCUCUGAGUUACUUACAUUAGUGUGAGUUACUGAGUAUAAACUUGGUAUUUUGCUUAUACAUUACUGUGAAUUACUGAGUAUAAACCUUCUAAAUCUUGGGCUUGUUCUGUUUGAGGCCUAAUAGAGGAUCCCCCUCUUGUUCAGCCUUCUUCUUCCUAUUCUCUUGUUCACUCCUCUGCUCUAUAUUCGGUGUCCUAUUAGUGGUGUAGUUCAUAAUGAGUCUCUUGCUAUAUUAGAUUCUAUCCAAUUUGGUUGGAAUAGUUCAAUGUGUACUGAAAUAGAUGAACUACAUAUCUGAUAUUAGCUUUAUUAGCUUUUGUAUUUAUCUGCAUACAAUAAUACAUAUAAUAAUUUAGUUUUA